rnacentral:rRNA from 1 species
UACGGGGGGGGUAAGCGUUGUUCGGAAUUACUGGGCGUAAAGGGCUCGUAGGCGGCCAACUAAGUCAGACGUGAAAUCCCUCAGCUUAACUGGGGAACUGCGUCCGAUACUGGAAGGCUUGAAUCCGGGAGAGGGAUGCGGAAUUCCAGGUGUAGCGGUGAAAUGCGUAGAUAUCUGGAGGAACACCGGUGGCGAAGGCGGCAUCCUGGACCGGCAUUGACGCUGAGGCGCGAAAGCCAGGGGAGCAAACAGG